AGCGGGGUAUAGGAAUUGGUCAACUCAUCAGGCUCAUGACCUGAAGACUGCAGGUUCGAAUCCUGUCCCCGCCU
rnacentral:tRNA from 1 species